rnacentral:lncRNA from 10 species
GUGAGGAAACCGAAGGCCUGAGGGAGAAAUGACUUGCCAGGAACCCCUGUUAAGGAAAAUUAACAAAGUGUGGUUAUUAAAGAAGAACUGAGUUGGGAGUCAGACCUGGAGGCCCCCACCCUUAGGUAAGACAUUAUACCACCUUGAGUCUGGCCUGUUGACUGAGGGUGAGCCACUCCAUCCUCAUGUGAUUGUGGGGUCUUAACCUCAAGGGGUUUCCUGCAGGAAGAAGCAAAUGGGUUUGCUUUCCUAGCUCUGUCCAGUACGUUAGGGACCCUGAGGACUGAAGGGAUUCUUGGAGAGCCAUCUGGUGUAUGUCAUGGGUGGGUCUUUUUUGAAGGUCAGUCUGCCCAGUGGGCUGGCUCAGCCCGAAUGAACUGUCUUGAAUCUUUGGAGUUGUCUGUGUACUUUUAAGGGCUUCUCAGCUGUGCCCCAAAAGAUCCCCCUGGAAAUUAGGUGGGAAAAACCUUAACUUUUGUGGGGCCCUGUGUUUGUCUUAAAAGUUCAUGCACAUAGCCAGGUGUGGUGGCUCCCACCUGUUAUCCUUUCCUGGAUCCCUUGAGUCAAGGAGUUUGAGACCAACCCGGACAAUAUAGUGAGACCCCAUCUCUACAAAAAAGAAAAUAUUAGCCAGGGGUGGUUGUGCGCAUCUGUAGUCCCAGCUACUACUGUGGCUGAGGCGGGAGGAGCACUUGAUCCUGCACUGAGCUGUGAUCUCACCAGUGUACUCCAGCCUGGGCCACAGAGCAAGACCGUGACUCAAAAAAAAAAAAAGACAAGAAAAAUUCUUCAACAUUUUGCAUUCUGUCCCACUAUCCAUUGGUUUUCAUGUCAAGAUUAUGUCAGAAAUUCUUUACAAUUGCUUCCAGAAGGAGUAGCCUUUUGAUCUAGUGCACAGGUGUCCAGUCUUUUGGCUUCUCAGGGCCACAUUGGAAGAAGAAUGCUCCUGGGCUGCACAUAAAAUACACUAAUGCUAACAACAGCUGAUGAGGUUAAAAAAAAAAAAAAGGUUUGUGCAUAAUUUUCAUGCUACCCACCACCACAGAUAGGUGGAAAAGUCCUUGUAGUCAAAGGGUUGGACACGGCUGAUCUAGUGUCUUGUCGUCAGUUUUGGCUUUCUCCCUGAUUCCAGAAUGCAGGUAGAGAUAACAUGGUCUCAGGACAGCUGUUGAGAUAAAAAAAUUCGUUGUCAUUUAUUCCCAAGCACAGCUGUUUCUCAUUGCAUUGAAAAAGUCUCCAUUCAAACUGCUGUCACAUAUAAAAUCUACUUAUGUAAGUCUGUAUAUUUCUGUUGUCUUGGCCUUUGUAGGCAGUAGUGUGUUUUAACCGAGCAAACUGUCCUUCCAAAUAAUGAAGCCGAAGUCAGCCUACCUACUUUCCAUUUUUCUUCCCCUUCCAUUUUUGUAACCUCAGAAUAAUUGUAAGAAUGAAUUAAGAUUUGUGUUUAAGGCCAGACACAGUGUCUCAGGCCUGCAUUCUCAGCACUUUGGGAGGCGGAGACAGCUGUAUCGCUUGAGCUCAGGAGUUGAAGACCAGCCUGGGCAACAUACUGAGACUCGGUCUUGUAUAAUUUAAUUAAAAUUGAAAAAAAGAAGAUAAAAAGACCUGUGUUUAAAAUUUUUAAAAAAGGGGGGAAAGUGUAAUGCAAAAUGUGGACUAUGCCAGCUAUGAUUGGGAAAACUAGUUUUUCAUACAGCAUUAUCUGUAGACUUGUAUUAGCAGCAUACUGGUCAUAUGCGUUUUGCUUUCCUCAAAUAUGAUGAGGUAAGCUAAUUUAAAGUGUGUUGGGGCUUUCUGCCGCGUGGCUUCUGGAGGUGUUGAGUCCCAAUUUAGCCAAUUAAUUUGGGUUUAGUUUUGACAUGGAUAAGGGAGACCAGCUUCAUUCAUGGUGUACACACAGUUUUGCCAAUAAGGAAAAAGAAAAGCCACCUGAAUGUUCCUACUCAUUAAAUGCUAUCUGGAGAGCUCCUACCCCACCCCCACCAAGGCCCGGGCCAUUAAAAAGACUCAAUGCAGCCUUUCUGGAUCUCAUACUGUAUUCUGCAAGAUACUCCUGUGAAAGAAAAUUGUGCUGCAUCAGCCAUCUCCCUCCUGAAGAUCCCUGCGGAUGAGGAUUUGUGUUUUGAAAGUUCUGAGAAUUCCUGCAACAACAAUUCUCAAACUUAUUUGUCCAGGGGAUCUUUUCUUCCACUGAAUGUAGUUGGGGAGACACGGCCUUAAGCCUUGAGCAGAGAAAGAGACAAAAAACUGUUGGCUCACUUACAACCAAGUGUUGUGUUUAUGUUUUAGGUUUUUAUGAAACUGAGGUGCUGUUUGAGGUUCUAAAUGAAAUUGGGUGGUUGAAGAGAGGCUGGUAUCCGUGUAGACUUAACCAGCCAUGAGAAGUUGCCUUUUGUUGAAGGAGGUGUUUUACAAAGGGAAAUAGGGUGUUUCCUGGGCAUCGCAUUAGCAAUUAAAUACAUGUAUCAGUGAAAUGAAAUGAAAUGAUGAGAUGAUGAAAUGAAAUGAUGAAAUGAUGAAAUGAAAUGAUGAAAUGAAGAAAUGAAAUGAGAUGAAAUGAUGAAAUGAAAUGGAAUGAUGAAAAAUGAUGAAAUGAUGACAUAAAAUGGUGAAAUGAAAUGAAAUAAUGAAAUGAAAUAAUGAACUGAAAUGAAAUGAAAUGAUAAAAUGAUGAAAUGAAAUGAAAAGAUGAAAUGAUGAAUUGAGGAAAUGAUAUGAAAUGAUGAAAUGAAAUGAUGAAAUGAAGUGAAGGAAGAAAUGAUGAAAAAAUGAAAUUAAAUGAUGAACUAAUGAAAUGAUGAGAUGAAAAGGUGAAAUGAAAUGAAAUGAUUAAAUGAAAUGAGAUGAAAAGAUGAAAUGAAAUGAUGAGAUGAAAUGAAAUGAUGUGAUGAAAUGAUGAGAUGAAGUGAAAUGAUGAAAUGAGAUGAAAUGAAAUAAAGCAAUGAAGGAUGAUAUGAUGAGAUGAAGUGAAAUGAUGAAAUGUAAUGAAAUGAUGAAAUGUAAUGAAAUGAUGAAAUGGAAUGAUGAAAUGAAAUGAUGAGAUGAAAUUGUGAAAUGAAAUGAGGAAAUGAAAUGGAAUGAUGAAAUGAUGAAAUGAAAAGAUCAAAUGGUGAAAUGAAGAAAUGACAUGAAAUGAUGAAAUGAAAUGAAAUGAUGAAAUGAAGUGAAAUGAUUAAAUGAUGAAAUAAUGAAAUGAAAUGUAAUGAUGAAAUGAUGAAUUGAUGAAAUGAUCAAAUGAAAUGACGAGAUGAAAAGAUGAAAUGAAAUGAAAUGAUGAAAUGAGAUGAAAAGAUGAGAUGAAAUGAUGAAAUCAUGAGAUGAUGAAAUGAUGAGUUGAAGUGAAAUGAUGAUGAGAUGAUGAAAUGCAACAAUGAGAAGAAAUGAUGAAAUGAAAUAAUGAAAGGAUGAAAUGAUGAGAUGAAAUGAUGAAAGGAUGAAAUGAAAUGAUGAAAUGAAAUGAAAUGAUGGAAUGAAAUGAUGAAGUGAUAUGAAAUGAUGACAUGAAGUCAAAUGAUGAAAUAAAUGAAAUGAUGAAAUGAAAUGAGAUGAAAUGAAAUCAUGAGAUGAAAUGAUGAAAUGAGAUGUAGUGAAAUGACGAAAUGAAAUAUUGAGAUGAAGUGAUGAAAUGAAAUGAAACAAUGAAAUGAAGUGAAAUGAAAUGAGAUGAAAUGAAAUGAUGAAAUGAAAUGAUGAAGUGAAAUGAUGAAAUGAAAAGAUCAAAUGGUGAAAUGAAGAAAUGAUAUGAAAAGAUGAAAUGAAGUGAUGAAAUGAAGUUAAAUGAUUAAAUGAUGAAAUAAAUGAAAUGAUGAAAUGAUGAAUUGAUGAAAUGAUCAAAUGAAAUGAGAUGAAAAGAUGAAAUGAAAUGAUGAAAUGACGAGAUGAAAAGAUAAAAUGAGAUGAAAUGAUGGGAUGAAAUGAAAUCGUGAGAUGAAGAAAUGAUGAGAUGAAAUGAUAAAAUGAUGGAAUGACGAAAUGCAACAAUAAGAAGAAAUUAUGAAAUGAAAUAAUGAAAUGAAAGGAUGAAAUGAGAUGAAAUGAUGAAAGGAUGAAAUGAAAUGAGGAAAUGAAAUGAAGUGAAAUGAUGGAAUGAAAAGAUGAAAUGAUGAAAUGAUAUGAAAUGAUGACAUGAAGUCAAAUGAUGCAAUGAUGAAAUAAAUGAAAUGAAAUGGUGAAAUGAAAUGAGAUGAAAUGAUGAGAUGAAAAGAUGAAAUGAUGAGAGGAAAUGAAAUGAGACGAAAUGAGAUGAAAUCAUGAGAUGAAAUGAUGAAAUGAGAUAAAGUGAAAUGACGAAAUGAAAUGUUGAGAUGAAGUGAUGAAAUGAAAUGAUGAAAUGAAAUGAAACAAUGAAAUGAAGUGAAAUGAAAUGAGGUGAAAUGAUGAAUUGAUGAAAUGAGAUGAAAAGAUGAAAUGAAAUAAUGAAAUGAUGAGAUCAAAAGAUGAAAUGAGAUGAAAUGAAAUGAGAUGAAAUGAAAUGAUGAGAUGAAAUGAAAUGAUGAGAUGAAAUGAUGAAAUGAUGAGAUGAAGUGAAAUGAUGAAAUGAAAUGAAAGAAUGAAAUGAAAUGAUAAAAUGAGAUGAAAUGAUGAAAUGAAAGGAUGAAAUGAGGAAAUGAAAUGAAAUGAUGAAAAGAAAUGAAAUAAUGAAAUGAAAUGAUGUAAUAGAUGAACCAAAAAUACUUAUUCACUUUUUUUCUUGGCAUCCUUCUUAGAGUAUUUUAGUGAGGUUAAUUUCUAAAAAUAAAUUGCUAUUCAAUGGCUAUACAGUUGGCCUUUGCACCACAGGGGUUUGAACUGUGCACGUCCACUUAGCAAAACCAACAAUUCUUCAUCCUUAUCCACACCCUGCCCAUGAAAAGGAUGAGGAUGAAGACCUGUUUGAUCAUCUACUUCCAUUUAAUAACUAGUAAAUCUAUUUUCCUUAUGAUUUUCUUUUUUCUUUUCUCUGGCAUGUUUGUUAAGAAUACAGUAUAUAAGACAUAUAACAUAUUAAAUAUGUGUUAAUUGUGUUAUUUGUAAGGCUUACAGUAGGCUAUUAGUAGUUAAGUUUUGGGGGAGUCAAAGUUAUAGUGGAUUUUCUACUGUGCAGGGGGCAAGCACCCCAACCUCCGUGUUGCUUAAGGGUCAACUGUACAUGUUAUUUCCUUUCCUGUAAGAGAAAAAUGAUGAGAAGGUCUUUUCUCCAAUAAGUGUCUUCAAAAUUUAGCAGAUGUGAAAUGUGUUGGCGCCACCAUUUUGCGUCUCACUUUGAAAACUUAUUAUUUAAAAUCGUACUAAAGCCUACCUUACUUUUCCAACCUUAGAAAAAAUGUUCCAAAGAAAAGGGGUGAAACCAUGCUAGUUUGCCCUGAAAUUUGAAAUUAUCUUUUAAAAAUAUAUUUUGACAUUAAUUACUUCCAAACUAGAGAUCAGUUGCAUACAAAUGGCAGGUCACCCUAAUCCACCCUAUGACUGCACUUAGAUUCAUGAGGGAUUGUGCCAUCUAGAAAGGGCAGAGAGGAGGAAUAGAGUGCUCUGCGUCUUGAAAUAUAAACAUGCACAUAGCCACAUGCUUUGAUUCUGUUGUCACUGUGUACUUACUGCUAGGAAGAGGGCAUGUUUGUGUAUUUUUAUGCAAAUUAUUAUCCAAGUUGUUAAUGAUUUACGCUUUCAGAACCAUAUAAAGAUUCUUUUCCUUUCAGAUAUAAACUAUCUUGCAUUGUUCUUCUGAUCAUAUGAGGGAUAAAUUUGCCUAAAUAUUCUUCAGACCAUAAUAGUAUGUCCAUAUAAAUGCCAGUAGCAAGAGUAGAAUCAACCACAACUGCCUUAGUAAUUAUUUAAAGCAUGUCUGCCUAUAAGUAAUUGGCAUUUUAUAUAAUCAAGAAUCUUUGAUAUAAUAAUCUCUCAACUAUUUGAAACACGGCUCAUAUGUAUUAAUUUUUUAAGCAAAUAUAUAUAUAAUAUCAGUGUAUAUGAAACUAAAUUUUGGACUUUAGAACAGCUUCUUAGAAUCCUGACUUAAAUGUCUACAGUAAUAGUUGGCUUAAAAAAAUUUAGCACACUGUCACUAUGAUGAAAAAAAUUACUAUAAAAUAUUUAAAAAUUUUUUCCACCCUAACAUUUAGAAUAUUCUCACAUUUGUGGUUAAAACCUAUUGUGAUUGUUCUUAGAAGUUAGAUAAAAAAUGUUCCAGAAAGAUUGAAGAGAAGCACUUUAGUCAAUUUUUAGUUGUUGAAGCAUGAAGAAAUGGCAUUUCAUUGACAUUUUAAAAAUUAUUCAGAUUCCCUCUUUGAAUUCAAGAGUUUCAAAGAUAUCUUAUUUUAAAAUACCAAAAUAGGAAUAGAAUAUGAAGGGCUGGUUAUGAGUAAUAUGAUACAAUUUUAUGAGAUGACGAGAUUACAAUAACAAUACCUCCUCUCAUAGAAUAGCCAGCAAGUCUCCACUAAAUAACAGUGCCUUGAUUUUAUAGAUGUUUAAUCAUGGAUAUUGAAUUAAUGUGAACCAUUUGUAGACACAGGAGUUUAUUAAAGACUUAUAUAAUAUCUUUCAAGUAUUUAGAAUAGUGUUGAAAUUAAGCCUGCAUCCCCACGAUUUUCAGCGGUGCUGAUGCCUAAUAAACUCAACCCCUUGCAUGCCAAAAUUGGCUUAAAGCCCAUCUGUUACCCAAGCUACACUUCAAGCAUCAAGGUUCAAAAAUGUGAUUUUGAAUAUGCAAGAGUUUGAGGAAUUCACUACUCACACUUUCUUGAACAGUCUAUCCAAGUGCAUCAAGCAAAAUGUGAGUAAAGAAAUUUUGACCAAAGGAUUGAUAGUAAUGUUGAAUACAUUUAAUAGUAGAUCUAAGAUUAAAAGGUGAAAGUGAAGGUGAGAAGAGUGUAUGAAUGCUUUGUGUUCUGACAAAGAGAAUGUAGCACCCAGGUCCUACCUGCUUGGAUGCAUUGCCAGUGCCCACGGUAGGCCAUUUUAUCCAGGUUUUUAGGUUUUGUCUUGUUUUGUUUGGUUUUUUCCUUUUAAGGAGUGUUAGUCCAAGACCAAUAACUCUGUAACUGGUAGAUUUGGAAGACUUUAAUAGUGCUUAACAUUUUGUACAUAGCUUUAUAACAGUUUUCUUUUUCUUUUUUUCUGAGAGAUUCUUUUCAAUAUACCCCUUCAUGGUUGAACUCAAAAAUCAUUGCUUAUUUAAAAACUACAACUGCUGACGUUUUGUAACGUUCGCAUUCCAGGUAAUUGCUUUUUUGUGCAUUUUCUGUAUUUUUCUCCAUCAGUCUCCCUAGAUAUUUGUUAGAUUUAAUAUUUUAAUAUUUUUCUGAAGAAGUGAGCUUUUGUAUUUUUAAAUAUAUACCCAGUUGCUUUAAUUCUUCUUUUUCGUGUACUAUUUCCUCGUUGUUUUUUUUUUUUUUUUUUUUUUUUGACACGGAGUCUUGCUCUGUUGCCCAAGCUGGAGUGCAGUCGCGUGAUCUCUACUCACUGCAACUUCCACCCCCCACGUUCAAGCAAUUCUCCCACCUCAGCCUCCCGAGUAGCUGGGAUUACAGAUGCAUGCCACCAUGCCAGGCUAAUUUUUGUAUAUUUAGUAGAGAGUGGGUUUCACCAUGUUAGACCAGGCUGGUCUCGAACUCCUGACCUCAGGUGAUCCACCUGCCUCGGCCUCCCAAAGUGCUGGGAUUACAGGCGUGAACAAUGGCGCCUGGCUAUCUCCUUCAUUCUUUAUGUUUAUUUUACUGGUUUUAUCUCUCUCUCUCUCUCUGUUUCUCUCCUUCUCACAUUCACUUUGCAGUUGUCAAAUAGCCCAGGUGAUGUUACAGAUUUACUCCUUAUAAAAGGAGGCAUUACACAUUACACAUGCAUCUUAGUGGCCUUACAAAAGUGUUUGGUUUAUUUGUAUUGACUAUUCACCUUUAAAAUAUUUCAAUAUUCAUUAAAAUAGCUUCCAACCAAUAUUAUUACACUUAUGUUUCUAACUUUCAUUUUUGUAUUGAUAUCUGCCUUCAUUUCUGUUUGUUUAGGAAAUAUAUUCUGUGUCACGUUAUUUCCGUGAAAAUUGUUUGAAUUUGUGGUAUGGUCUAGAAAAUGUUAAUUUUUGUAUGUAUUCUGUAUGAACAUGAAAAUAACAUGAAUUAUAAUAUUCAUGUUCCUUAUAUAAUAUUUGCCCUUUUUAAAAUCCACUAGCUUCUUUUGAAACUUACUCUUUAAUUUUUUCUUUUAUCUAUUGCUGAAAGACGUGUGUUUGAAAUGUCUAUAAUAUUUGGGGGCUUAUCCAUUUCUACUUACUUUCUGAUAUUUUUGCUUUAUAUAAUUUGACUCUCUCUCUAAAUACGUGUGUGUCUGUGUGUGUGAGAGUGUGUGGUUUGUGUGUCUAUAUAUAUGUAUGUAUCAGGCUAAUGCACAUUUAAGUCAUCACAUCUUCUUAAUAACUUAAAACUUUUAUCACACUGGUUAGACUAACUUAUUUUAAUAAAUGUUUCUAACUUACAUUCUAUUUUGUCUACAUAGCAACUUUUUAAAAAAUUAUAUUCAUGUAGUAUGUUUGUAUGUAUAUCAUAUAUACACAGUAUCUGUAUUGUUUGAACUUCAAAGUUUCUGUAAAUUUAUAUAUUAGUUGUGUCUCUUAUAACUAUGAUAGAGACGGAUGUUUUAAAUUUUGCCAAUCUUUGUAUUUUAACAAAAACAUUGUCUACUUAGGUUUAAGUUAAUCUUUGAUCAUUUAUACUUAAUUUUGUAUUAUUAAUUUGUUGUGUAUAUAUAUAUAUAUAUAAUGUCUCAUUUUCUCCUAUCACUUUCUGUCUUCUUGUUUUAAAAUUAUGACUUUUAUUUUUAUUGUUUUCAUAGAUACAACAGAGAAAUGCAUAAUGUCCAGUCAAUUUAUUAAAGUUCCAAAGUCGGUCGCGCGCAGUGGCUCACGCCUGUAAUCUCAACACUUCGGGAGGCCGAGACGUGUGGAUCACGAGGUCAGGAGUUGGAGACUAGCCUGACCAACAUGGUGAAACCCCGUCUCUACUAAAAAUACAAAAAUUAGCCAGGCAUGGUGGCACGCGGCUGUAAUCCCCGCUACUCAGGAGGCUGAGGCAGGAGAAUUGCUUGAACCUGGGAGGCAGAGGUUGCAGUGAGCAGAGAUGACGCCACCGCACUCCAGCCUGGGAGAAAGAGUGAAUGAGACUCCUUCUCAAAAAAAAAAAAAAAAAAAAAAAAAAAAAAAAAGUUGCAAAGUCAUACCUUUCUGCUCUUGUCAGACAAUUAAGGGGUCUUUGAAUACUUCAGCUCUAAUAAUUUCCUUCCUAACAUACAUAUUGCAGUGCUUAUCUAAUUUUAAAUAUCCUUUUGUUUCAACACCUAAUUUUCUAUUUUGAUCUAUCUGUAUGUUUACAAUAUAUUUUGCUCUGUGUUCAUUCUUUGAUUUCAGAACUUCAAUCUUUCUGAAGCGUGUUUUCAGUUUCGUUUGAGUUUCUUUAGUGGAAUUCUGCUGGUGGUGUUUUGUUUUUUGUCUCUAAAUAUGUUAUUUAGCCAUAGGUUGAUGAAUGUUUUUCUUGGUUGAGAAUUUCAGAAUGGCAUUAUUAUUCUUAACAAAUAAUAUUGUUUAUUUUACCUUUCAUGCUUUCAGAUUUCAAUAUGAUUAAAGGUAAUUUGAUUUUUCUAGUGCUAAUUGAAAUAUUUUUCCCUUCCUGAUUGUUUACUAUUUCUCUAGGAGAUAUGUAGAUGUAGGUUUAUCUCCAUCGUAGCUUGCUUAGCAUGCAUAGAAGUUUUGAAUAUGUGGAUUAGUGUCUUACAAAAGUCUAGAGAACUUUCAGCCAAAAUACCAUCACAUAUUGUCCCUUCCCUGUUCCCUUCCUCUAUGAGAACACUCACUAAACACAUGCUACACUUUCUCACUGUAUCUUCCAUGUCUCUUCAUGAUUCUGUCCACAUUGUGCCUUUUUUAAAAUUUUCUGUAAUGCAUUCUGAAAUAUUUAUGAACUCUCACCAUGGCCAUGUCUAAUCUGAUGAGUUCAUUUUUGAGUUUUUAAUUUAAAAUACUAUAUAUAAACUACUUUUCAAAUUUACUACAUCAAUUUUUUAGUCUCCUAAAAAUAUAUUCAUUUUUUUUUAAUUUUUUGAAAGCAAAUGUGCUUUAUAAUCUAACAGUGAUAUUUCUACUAAUGAACCUUUGUGGAUCUGUUUGUACUCUUUUUCUGCUUUCCUUUCAAAUGGUGGAAUAUCAUUUCCUUGCGUACUUAGAUGCCUUUGAAUGACAAAGAUUUAUUUUUCUCUGAAAAUUAUUAUUGUGCACUUUUGCAUAUUAGAAGAAAAUUUGCCAAAGAGAAUUUGAAUUUUUUGUGAGUCUACUAAAGGCACCACCAUUCUGGGACCACAUUAUAUUAAUUCUUGGCCUAAAGGUGUUUGGACGUAUGUUUGGACAGCACAUUUAAACAAUUUUUAAAUUAAUUGCUGUAAAUCAUUAAUGAUUGAGUUGCUUUAAAUCUGUCCAAUCUCAAGUCAUUUUUAUUUGCCAUUUCCAGGGAAUGUGAAAUGAGACUAAUUUACCUCUGAUUCUUCUUUAGACUGAGGAUAUAAAUUUUGGUUCUAGCUUUAGGGAAGAGCUCCUGUGUGAUGCCCUAUCUUGGGAAACACUAUGUAUUUCUUUACUGUCCUAUGUGAUGUAUGACAGUAGGAAUCUGCAGUCAUUCAUUUUGCUACAUGUCCGUAGGGCAAAAUCAGUUUCAGUGUUUAGGUGUAUUUUGUCUGCUCCCUGCAUUCCCAUGGUUUUGACCUUAUAUUUUACUUUUUUUUUGUGAACGUACCAAUGCUUCAAUUUUUUUCCAGUAAUAUAAUCAACUAUACUAUAAGAGAAAAAUUUUGAUAAAACACAAAUUUCAUGUUUUCCUACUCUAAUUGGCUUUUACGUAAAAAUACAGGUAAAAUUUAUUUGUGCUUUUUUGCUAUUAUUUUUUGCUAUUCUCUGUUUGUCUAUGUCUUCACCACAUAGACACAAUUAGGGAAUUUUGUACACUCUUGUGCCAACUGCUUUGAUAGGAACAAAAUGUAUUUCUCGAACUCCUAGGUAUAAAACUCAAGUAUCCAUGAUUGAAAUUCUUUUUUGCUCACUUCUAUUAUGUUUCCAGUCUCAAUAGAAAUCGAUGCCAAUCCAGAAAUACAAGCAUUAUUCUAAUACUUCUCACACAUUACUGCAGGAGUGAGGACACAGCGAAAGUGAGACAAGGAAAAGAGAACAAAAUAAAACAGGAAAGAUAGAAAAGCCAAUACCACACGUGUUAAGAGUUUCAAGGAAAAUAUGUUGGGAGUUCCUCGCAUAGAGAAUGUCACAAAGACAUGUUUUCAAUAGUAGUGCUAUCCCUAGGGCAGAGAAGACCCAGAGAAAGCCCAAGUGGCUGCUGGAACACAGUCAGACACCGUGCCACCUGUCCACACUCCUUGGCUCUGCCAUCAUGCUGAAGAUCGCUUUAAAGGACUGGCUUCCCUCCCCCCAAAAUGAAUAGAGCACAGACUGAGAAACUGAAUGUGGGAGACAGCAGUGGAUUAUGCUGUUCUCAGGGGUCACCUCAGGUUUGGAAGCAUUCUUUCAAAUUAACCCAUCUCAGGCCAUCUGCAGAGAAGAAAGGUGGUACCUAACUUUUUUCUUGUCAGCAUUUGGUAGGGGUGUUUUAUUGACCAAAUAUGUUCCCACAACCUAGUUUUUUGUGAGUAACUAAAUAUAGUAGAGUUUUAAAUUUUAUCAUCAAAAUCUAUAGACAAUUUUUGAUGAAAAUAGACUCCAUCUCUAUGUCCUGCUUUUCUUCUUCUUAUUAAUUACAUUGCUGUAUAAAAGAACAAGACUUCAGAAUCAAGAAUAUCUUGUCUCUUGGCAUUGAAUUUAUACAAGGUGCUCUUUCUUUAAUGCUGUCUCAAAGGACAUAUUUUUACUCAUUAAAAAGGAAGAUCGGAAUCUAGUUGUAUGCGCUGCUCCAACAUAUUAAUAAUUAAAAUUAGGAGGUAAAUGUGGUCAAAACUAUAGAAAGACUGAGAUGUCAUUUAUAUUGAUUGCUGUAUAGCAUUCUACAAACAGAAAUUGUUAAAUAAGUUUAUAUAAAUAUUUUGUAGCAUUUCAAAUAUUUGAGUGCUUGACGUUUCUCCUCUUCUAUAGUUCAGAUUAUCAAUUUGAAGACUUACUCCGCUAGUUAAAAUGUUUUUAGUCUCGUUCGAGUAUUAUAUAAAAGCAAUUUUCAGUUAAAUGUGUUCCGCUUACAUACAACAUUACAAAUUAUUGAGGAUUUAAUUACUUAUUCAUGUUCCUGUAAUAUCUUUAGAAGAUUUUCUUAUUAUUACCUAUCAAUAUAUGUAUGCUUUGUCAAAGAAAAAUCAAACAUAUAUAUCAUUGAAAUUGAAACUUUUUAAAAGUACUUAUUAAUUCUAUUGAAAAACCACAUCCAUAGGAACAAUUACAAUAUAAUAUUGUGAACAUGUAAACAUAUACCCUAUGUCUAUUUUAUGUAUAAGCAUGUAUGAUUAAAAAUAUAGUGAAGAAUUUUUAAACCUAGUAUUAUAAAGUAAAAAUUAGUUAACUUCUGAUGAUUAUUUGUUAAUUAAGAUAAAAUUAUUUUGAUUUGGGUGAUUUUAAAUAAAGAAAAAUAUUAAAUUACAUGACAAAAAUUCUUUAUAAAAUGUUUAUGAUUUUUACAUUGGUUUUAUCACUUUUUCCACUAUUUUAUUUUAAGAUGACCUGCCUUGUUUAAAACACUGUAUUCAUCUUAAUUAAAUUAGAUUCCAUUUGUAAAAUAAUUAACAAAUGAUUUGCUCUAUUUUACAGUGCGGUUAUAAACUGAGUCAGUAUCUCAAGAUUUGAUCCCCAUUAUCAUCAUCUGUGGCCCUAUUUGUUUUAUAAAUGUAUUGUCUUUUUCCAUGCCUGUCACAUCUCUAUUGCUUUUUCAUUUUUCUCUUUGUCCCUUAUAGGGAGCAUUGCCUAUCUCUAGAUUAAGCAAAGGUUGCAUCAUAAAAAAGCACAAUAACCUGCUCAAUCUUUCUCACACAGAGAAAUGUUUGUUAAGUAAUUAAAGUGUAGAUGAUGAUACAAAGACCUUGAUUAAAUUAGAUAACAAAGUACCCUUGUGAUUCAGAAUAUGAAUGGUAUUUAAUUUCUUUGAAAUCAUUAAUUGCUGAGUGACAUUAAUUAAUGCCAAUUUUCCAGAAGAUGUUCUAGUUAAUGAAAUGUAUACAACGAAAAGCACAAUAACCUGCUCAAUCUUUCUCACACAGAGAAAUGUUUGUUAAGUAAUUAAACUGUAGAUGAUGAUACAAAGAGCUUGAUUAAAUAAGAUGCCAAAGUACCCUUGUGAUUCAGAAUAUGAAUGGUAUUUAAUUUCUUUGAAAUCAUUAAUUGCUGAGUGACAUUAAUUAAUGCCAAUAUUCCAGAAGAUGUUCUAGUGAGUGAAAUGUAUACAACGUGCAAAAGAUUCAGAACUCUGAAGGGCAACAUUAUUCUAUAAUUAAGAAUUAAGAAUUAAUUCACAUCAGUUAUUGGGGAGAAAUAAUUUUUAAGAAUUAAUGACUGAGAAAAUGUUAUUUUUUACUUAGAAAAUUAUUUUGUGCAUGAGCAUUACCGCAAGUUUUGCAAGAAACAUAAAUUUAAAGAAACAAUUAUGUGCACAAGAUGAAUUUAAUAACAUCUUGAUAUAUUCCAUGAUUGCGGUUUUAUUUGGUAAAUCUUUAAAUGCACACCAUUUAAUGAUAAUAAAUGAAUCUUGGAAAUCUUGUAGGUAAGGGUAAAUAUUAGGAUGCAUCCAGUUACAUUUACACACACAUACAUGCAUACAGACUGAUUCACGUGUGUAUAUAUAUAUAUAUGAAUUUACCAAUUGAUGUUAACUAAUAUUUAUAAGAGCCAGUUGGAUUGAUAUAUAUUGUUGAACCUGAAAAAUAUUUAUUAUAUACAUGUUUAAAAUACACACAGAAAUAAAUAGCAAUUGCACUAGGUAUUUGAAACUGUACUAAAAUAUAAGCUGUGAACAUUUUGUGAUCAUUACAAAUUCUUACACUGAAUAAAUAUGUUUAUUUUUACAAUAUUAAUAUGUUUGAUACCUGUGUACAUUUUUUACAAUGUGUUAUUUUAUUUUUGUCAUAGAGUCAUGUCAUGCAUAAUAACAUUUUAGUCAAAGAUGGAUUACAUAUACAAAAGUGGUCCCAUGAGAUUAUAAUAUAUAUUUUUACAUACUUUUCUACGUUUAAGUAUGUUUAGAUACAUAACCUCUUACCACUGUGCUCUUAUUGCCUGCAGUAUUCAGUAGAGUAAUGUAGUACACAGAUUUGUAGCCUAGGAGAAAGAGGCUAUACCAUAUAACCUAAACGUGGUAGGCUGUACAAUCUAGGUGUUUGUAAUAUUCUCUGUGAUGUUUGCAAAAUGAUGAAAUUGCCUAUGAAUACAUCUGUUAAAACGUAUCCCUAUCAUUCAGUGAUGUGUGACUGUACUAAAAUGCUCAAUGUAAGUUUCAAUGCCCUCCAUAAAAUUGUUGUACUGUGAAAUACAAAUCUCUCACCCAUGGCCUGAAUAUGUUUGCAAACUAAGCAGAUCAUGGGAAGGAGAAUGUGCUGGCAUCGCUGGGAUGAUUUUCUCACACUACAUGAAUAAUAUCUACAGACUUCGUGAAUAUGAGCCACUUGCAUAGAGUUAAAGUAGACGUCUCUUUGCUGGGAAAUUUAUCAAAUGGGAGUAUGAAGUGUUUUUACAAGAUACUUGUUUGUUUGUAGCUGGUAGGCCUACAGUGGCUCAUGGCAAUGGUUGAGGUUGCUAAGAUUUGGUGGAAGAAGGCAAAAUGAGAUGGCCACUUAUAUGGUAUAUGGAUCACUUGUUUCUGUUGAGUUACAAACUCAGCUGGCUAUUUCUCCAAUGUUAGUUAUUUGGAGAAAAAAAAACGUGAUGGUAAUUUUGGGGUAACAAAUACAAUAUUUGAUGAAAGCAAAUUUAUUGAGGGUUAGACAAACUACAAGAUACUUUAGGCUGCAAAGUCAACACGAGACUUCUGGCCCAAAUUGUGAAGAGUUUGCGUCCAGCUGCACAGUUCAAAGGAAGAGGCCAUGUAAGAAGAUUCUCACUUCUGACACCAACUGCCAGUUCAGGGGUUUCCCCUGAACACCCUCAGUUUCAAGAGUUUACUAGAAAGACUCACAGAACUCAUUGAAUGCCACUGUACUCAUGGUUUAUAAUAGAGAAAGGGUAGAAAUUAGGACCAAUAGAAGAGACAUAUCAUAUAAGGUGGAAUCUAGGAGAUUUUGAAUGUUAAGUUUCCAUUGUCUUCAGGACAUAUUACCUGUCACUGUUGUACAGCAACAAACAUGGAGUACUACCAACCUGGGGAGCUCACCUGAUGCUAACAAGACACUAUUUACAAAAUGAAAAGACAAAUGAAAGGAUGAGAUAAGAUGACGUUCCACAUUAAGGCACUGGAACGAUUAGCAAACUAAACCUAAAGCAAGCAGAAGGAAGAAAAUUAAAAUUAGAGAAAUUAAUAAUUUAUAACAAUAAUAUUUGUUAGUGUUGAAUAAUUGAUAUUACUUCUUGACUAGCUUUUUUAAAAAAGAGAAAUAUUCACUUCCCAAUUUAUUCUGUGGGGCCAGUGUUACUUUGAUACAAAAAUUAGUCCAAAUAGCAUAGAAAAAUAAAACUACUAUAAGUAUAAAUGCAAACUUCCUUAAAAAAUACUAACAAAUCAGAUCUAGCAACAUAUAAAAGAAUUAUACACUAUGACAAAGUGAAAUUUAUACAAGUAAUCCCAGGUUGGUUUAACAGCCCAAAAUCCAUUAAGGUAAUACAUCUUAUCCAUAGAAUAAGAAACGAGAAUUGCAUGAUCACGUCGAUAGAUUCGGAAAAGACAUUUAACAGAAUCCAAAUGCUUUAAUGACUAAAAAUAAAAAUAAAAACUCAAUGAACCAGGAAUAGAGAACUUUCUACACCUGAUAUAUGGCACCUGUGAAAAGCCAACAGCAAGCAUGCAACUUAAUGGUAAAGGAUGCUUUCCCGCUAUGGUGAGAGAUAUAUACUUUGAUAGGAUAUAUACUUUGACCUCUUCUAGUCAACACUGUACUAAAGAUUUUAUGCAGGGCAAAUCGGCAACUAAAAAAAUAAGAGUCACCCAUACUGAACAGGAAGAAAUAAAACUUUAUUUGAAAAUAACAUUCUUGUAUAUAGAAAAUUUUAAGGAAUCCACCGAACGAUAGAACUCGUAAAUUAUUUCAGCAAUAUUACAGCAAACAAGGUAAAUGUACAAAAAUCAAUUUCACACAUCUGCAAUGAAAACCCCAAAAUGAAUUUAAGAAAACACUUCAAUUUAAAAUAGCAUCAAAAAAAGAAAUAAUAAUUAAUUUGGAAAAUGUGAUACAAGAUUUUCCUCUGAAAAUUAAAAAUUAUUGUUUAAAGAAUAUUUAAAUAAUUAGCAAACACCUUACACCCAUGAAUUGGACUAUUUAAUAUUGUAGUACUUUACAAUUUGAACUACAGAUUUGAUGAAAUCCCUGCAAGUAUCCCAACAGACUUCUGUCUAGAAACUGACAAGCUGAUUCUAAAAUACACAUGGAAUUGUAAGGGACUCAAAAUAGCCAAAAUAAUCUUAAGAAAAGAAAACAUGUUAGGAUAAUUCACACCCCCAUGCUCCAAACCUUACUGCAAAGUAUCGGUAAUCAAGACAACACAAUACUGAUGAAGGAAAAAUAUAUAGAUUGAUGGAAGAUAAUUGAGAGUCCAUAUAUAAAACUAUGUGUCUACAGUCAAUGGAUUCUUACAGUGGUACCAUGUGCAAUUCAAUGAGGAAGAGACAGUCUUUGAACAAACUGGGUCAACAAAGUACACAUGGAUCACCACUUGCAAAAUAAUAAAUUCGAACCCUUACCCCAAAGCAUACAAAAAUAUUAACUCAAAUGAAUUAAAGACACACAUGCAAGAGGUAGAAUAAAGCAUAUGGGAAAGUCUUCAGGAUUUUGGAUCUAGCAAAGAAAUAGCUGUAACCCCAAAAACAUGAGCAACAAAAUAAAAAUUAGAUAUUUAAAAUUUCUUAAAAAUUAAAGACAUUGGUGUUUCAAAGGACAAACAAGCAAGUCAAAAGGCAGCUCAAAAAUUGUGAGAAGAUAUUUGAAAAACACGUAUCUAUAUGUCUGUAUAUAUAUAUGUAUCUUGAAUAUAGAAAAAUUGUUUUAACUCCGUCACAAAUAUCCCAACUCAAAACUGAUAAAUGAUAGGAAUAGAUGUGUUUCCCAAGAAGAUACACGAACGGUCAAUAAUCCCAUAAAAAUAUACUCAAUAGCAUCACUCAUCAGGCAACUACAAAUCAAAACCACAGUUAGAUACUCUAUGGGUAGAACUGGCCACCUUGGAAAAUAAUUUGAUGGCUUCUAAAUAUAUGAAACAUAGAAUUGUCAUAUGACCCAGAAAUUUAUUCCUAGGUAUACACCCAGAUUAUUGGAAAGAGGUGUUCAAACACAAAUUGUACACAAGUAUUUUUAGCAGCAGUAUUUAAAAUAGCCAAAGGCUGAACACAACUCAAAUGUCAAUAAAAAUAUUAUUGGAUAAACAAAAUGUUAUAUCCAAGAAAUUGAAUGUUAUACAGUUAUAAAAAGAAAUAAAGUACCAAUACGUACAUGAACCUUGAUAGCAUUAUGCCAACUGAAAGAAGCCAGGCAGAAAAGGCCACCUAUUGUAUGAUUCUAUUUAGAUGAAAACAGACUAGGAAAAUCUAUAGAGACAGAAAACAGAUUUGUGGUUGCUUAGGAUUGAGUAGGGGAUGGGUGCAUAGGAGGUUAACAGCUAGGGAAGGUGGGGUUUCUUUUUGAAGUGAUGAAAAUGCUCUAAAAUUCAUUGUGAUGAUGGCUCCACUUAUCUGUGCAUAUACUAAAAGCCACUGACUUGUAGACAUUAAUGUGUGCACUCUACACUAUGUAAAUUAUAUCUCAAUAAAUCCUUUCAAAAAUACACAGAAGAGUAAGGGGUUUUGGAAUGCUGCAGCUGGGAGGCAGUUUGAAAUACUGAAUAGGCCUCAUCGAGAAUGUGAAGUUUCAGUAAAGACUUGAGGAAGUUGAAUGAGCUGAUCAAUGGAUAUAUGGAGGGCUAUCUUUCCAAGCCAAGAAAUUAACUAGAGUCUUGACCAUAAGGCAGCAGCAUGUUGGCAUGUCCAGAGGACAGUGAGGUGGCCAGGACCACUGGUAAGAUCAAGGGUGAAGAUAUAAAAGAAUUUUGGCAGUUAACAUGUGGCAGAUGAUGAUGGGCUUGCAGAUCAUUGUAAGAAAUGUUGUUUUGGCCGGGCGCGGUGGCUCACGCCUGUAAUCCCAGCACUUUGGGAGGCCGAGGCGGGUGGAUCACGAGGUCAGGAGAUCGAGACCAUCCUGGCUAACAAGGUGAAACCCCGUCUCUACUAAAAAUACAAAAAAUUAGCCGGGCGUGGUAGCGGGCGCCUGUAGUCCCAGCUACUCGGGAGGCUGAGGCAGGAGAAUGGCGUGAACCCGGGAGGCGGAGCUUGCAGUGAGCCGAGAUCGCGCCACUGCACUCCAGCCUGGGCGACAGAGCGAGACUCCGUCUCAAAAAAAAAAAAAAAAAGAAAAAGAAAUGUUGUUUUUAGUGUACAUGAAAUGGGGAGACAAAUCAUUAUCCCAUUAUCAAUAUUUUAAUAAAUUGGAUCCAUGAACCAAAUCCAAUGAGAUUAAAUCAAUUAAUAAUAAUAUGCAAAUUUGUAUUAAAAUUAAAAGAAUUACUUGCACAUUUGAGAACAGGAGAGACAUGAUUUUUAUCAGCAAUAAUAAACAUUAUUAAUUUUAAUUGUGAUCAGCUAAUUGAGAUUAAUUGCAAUACAUCAUGCUUUAUAAUGUGACUGCCAAAAGGAAAAUAUGAUUGUAAUCUUAUACUACAUCUAUCAAUGUCUUUUAUACAUAAGAGUAUAGAGUAAGCCCGUAGUUUUCAAAGCCAACCUAUGAAGCAGUGACAUCUUAUGCAAGUUUGCUGCUUUCUGCCACAGUGAUCCUUGGUCAGCGGGCACAAAUUGUUUUACAAACGCCCCCUAGGUCUAAAAGUAGUUUGGAUCACAAUGAACACAGAAACACCUUCAUCCCUUCAGAAAUACCUAUCAAUUACUUCCAAUACAGAAUGAAAAAUUGACAAAGGAAAUAUGUGGAUUGUAAAAAUGCCAGUUAGCUUGCAACUACAUGAAAGAAAAAUGCCAUUUUUAUUACAUUAGGUCAUUGUUUCACAUGAGUUUUGGUAUAGCAAAAUGUUGAACCAAGGGAAAAGAGACAUGAAUUAAUGAAGUCUUAAGAUAUCAAGAAUUUGAAAGAAAAGGCAGGUCAUCUUUGAAGGUUAGUGACAUAGCAUUCAUCUUCUGUUGUCACCUUUCCUGUCAUUCCCUGUAUGCCUGAUGGACAGGUUUCACUCAAGUUCAGAGAACAGCAUGCAAAAUUAGCUAUCAAUUAAUCUUUAGGAAGUGAGCUGCAUUUCUAGCCAGACUGAGCUUACGUUUUAGCAGGAAGCAUUUUUGGGAAAUGUUUAUGUUAGAGUUGGCCCUUCUUGACAAGGUGAGACAUAAAUGUCUACUUUAUAGACAUGAAUUAAGAUGGGAAGAUAUUUGGGGGAAUCAUUUACUCAAACGCUAAAUAAUAAAGGUACACAAAGGGCAAAUUAUACUAGAUUUCUUUCCCACUUGUUUUCUAUGUCUCAUGCAAUUCACCUUGAUUCCCUUCAGUUUCUGUUUAAUGUAGAAAGUGGCAUUUUCAUUAUUUUAAGCUUCUAGCACAAUGAAAGAAUUUCUCUUUUUCAUGAACAGGAUCAUACAUGAAAAGGAGGAAGAGUGUCCUAUAUCAUAUUUAUUGUUCAACAAAACACUGCUCCACGGCUUAAAUUCAGUUUAAGAAAGAGAAUUUGUUGAACAUCUAACACAUACAUAAAAGGCAGUAAAGACACAUGAGAAGAGGGCAGGAUAUUGAAGUAUACAGACUUCAAUGCUGAGUUUUAUAUCUUAGGGAGUUACUCCACCUUACAGAGGCUCAAUUUCCCCUGAUUUAGGAAGGCGAUGCUAAUGGGUAUUGCAUAGGUGUAAGUAUAAAAAUGUUGUAUUGAAGAGAAUCCCACAAGCUUGGUAUAAGGCCGAAAAUAAAUUGAUGUGACAUGAAUAAGUAGUUUAUUACAUUUGUAUGCUACCUGCAGACUAGAGGAAGCAAGAAACACAGCCACUAUGCUUGAUUAGCAUUAUAGGGAUGGUACAAUGAUUGUUGCCAGAAGCUGGAGGGAGGAAGAAAUGGGGAAGUAUUGUUUAAUGGGUAUAGAGUUUCAGUUUUACAAGAUGAAACGAAUUAUGGAGAUGGAUGGUAGGGACGGCUGCACAAUGUUAUGACUAUAUUUAGUACCACUGAACUGUACACUUAAAAUGGUUAACCGAGUACAUUUUAUGUUAUGUGUAUUUUACCACAAUAAAAAAAUAAAAUACCUUAGGAACAUUUUCAUGAAAAAGCCCACAUAAAAUUCAUUUUAAUGCACGUGUUUAUGCAUAGCUUUCUAUUUUUCUCUUUUCCCUUUACAUUCCUAAUUCUAAUCAGAGAAGGGAAUCCCCUCUGUACCUCCAGGAUAUUCAGUAAAGACCACUGGAGGUUCAUGCCCUAGUGACAGUGCUCAUUUAGCUCCAAAUUACAGAUGGCUCUAGACUAACUCAACAAAGCUUAAAGAGAAGAUUUAAAACAACAACAGACAAAUACUCAUCCUGAAGUUACUGAACUGCCUGCCACAACAUUGUUCAAAGGUAGCCAAUCAAAUCUAGAUAUUCAAUAGCAUAACAUCAAAAUACCCAAAAAAAACUCUGAAAUGCAAAGAAGCCGUAAGAUAUAUAUAAUUAAGAUAUAUAUUAACAGGAUAAAAAUAAGUCAUUUAUAAAUGACAAAAAAGAAGGAAAUUUCAAGGUUCUUAAAGUAAAUAUAUUUUAUAAAUACAUAUAGAUAAAUACAUAUAUAUGUCAAGGUACUUAAAUGAAAAUUAAACAUAGGAGAAAAAUAGAAGUUAUAAAAUGAAAAAGUGACAUAUAUAGAUGAAAAAUAAAUAUUUGAAAUAAAAAUUCCAUGACAUAGAAUAAGUAAUGGAUUUUACCCUAACAUCAGAAAAUUUAUAGAACAAAUUAGAAGCAUUACAAACUAAAGGACAAAUGGUAAACUAAAAUAAGAAAACCAGAAACUCACUGAUACGUCAGACAAUAUGCAUCAGUGUAACAUACAUGUAAUCAACAUCUCAAAAAGGAUGGGUGGGGUAAUUAUAGGUGAAUAAAGAAUGGUACACUCAUUCCUGAGGGCACCGAGGAGGGAGGAUAGCUUUAGAUUUCUAAGGGAGGGUAUUAUCCAUUCAUGAAGGUCCAACCCCAUGACCAAACACCUCCCAGUGAGCCCCACCUGCAACAUUGGGGAUCAAAUUUUAACAUGAGUUUGGAAGGGGCAAGCAUUCAAACCAUAGCAAGAGUUAAAUUUCCUUUUUAAGAAAAUCACUGAUAUGAUUCCACUUCGCCAUAGAUAAAAACUAGUAUUUCAGCCUACCGUUGAGUGUGCUUAUAGCUCACCAAAAGGGCACUCUGUCUCGGGAAUACAGAUUUGCCUACAGGUAUCCUAUUGCAGUCAAAGAAAGAGCAAUGAGGGAUAGAAAAGGUUAGUGAUGGAGACACCAGCGCUGCAUUUUGCAACAAACAAUGUAAAAACUUUACGGAUUGGUUCUGCUAACUUACUACAGUUUACAUGCCUCUCAGGUGGGAGAAUUGUUGCGUUUUUUCUUAAGAUAGAAAAGCAAUUCAGAUAAUCUGAAAUCUCCACAAGAAGGAUAAGAAGCACAGCAGAAACUAUUCUAGGCAGGAAGUCAAUCCUUUCAACUGUCUGUGCUCCAUAGAAACAAUUGUCUGCACUGGGAGUCAUAUGAGGUACAGACAACAGCCAGACUUCUGAUCCUCUCAUUAGUGAUUUCAGAAGAAAUUACCAGUCAACUGAGUAACUCACUGAGUAUAGUAAACAUUUGGCACUGAAAGAGGUUAGACGGAUAACUAUUUGUAUCACCAUAUUCAUGAAGCUGGAAUAUUUUCCAUUACUGGUAUCACAUCCGAAUGGAAGAUGUUAAAAGGUCUCUCAUCAUGUAAGAUAGAUAUGAAAGAACAUUUUCUGAGAAAUGAAAUUAUUAACACACCUGUGAGGUGCAUGGAAGAGAAAAAAAGAAUAAUCACCUUGAGUUCUUCUCCUUGAUAAGAGAACUCACUAAAAACAUAAAGAGAAAAAUACAAGUUUAAAAUAAUUAACCAGAAGAAGACGACUCUAGAGAUUUUAAAUUGCUGAUAAGAUUUUAAUUUGCUCCAAGUUGAAAAUAAUUAUAUUGCUUGUGUUUUAAGGCACAUAAUGAGCAAUUAUAUCACACAUGAUAGUUUCAGCAGUAAAAUAUGAUCCG